UNCCCUGGUCAUUUCAUUAGCUCACAGUU
rnacentral:piRNA from 1 species